AAUGAGGAAAUCAAAACCGGUCCCGACAUUAUGCAAUUAGACGCUGGUGAGUAUUAAAUCCGUAAAUGGUGAACAAAUGCGUUGAUUUUUGUUGUUUGUUGCGAUGGGUGUAUGUCGGUUAUAGUUAUGAAUUGCAUGCUUAAUUUGGAAACAACUUUUUGGGUUCCAAAAAAUGUUGGAAGUAGCAGUCUGUUGUUUGGAUGUUUUGUGUUGUAUGUGUAAAACCGUAUACGCAAAAGUGUGGUUUUGCGUGUUUCUUUUGCAUUUUACAUCUUGGUAUGGUUUGCACAUCCUGGUAUGUGUCUGUUUCACGAUUUAAGUUUUAGUGUGGUUUUUUUGGGUUCUGUUGUAACGACCAAAAUAUAUAAGGUCUUUUGUUUAAGCGGUUUUGAGUUGGGAACAUAUUCAGUGGUUCUGAAUUAAGUGGUUUUUUCCUAUGUUCAUGUACAUAGGUAUUUUUUUUAGGUAAAUUUGUUUGUUUUUGUAAAUUGUUGUUUCAGUGUAAAAAAACAUGUUUUAGUGACUGUGGUUUUUGAAUUUUGUAAACGGGUUAGCAUUUUAAUGUGUUUUGUUGGGUUCCGUUGUAACCACUCAAAGAUAUGCAGUCUUGUUUAUGAAAUUUGAAUUGUGAACAUUUGCCAACCAUGUUCAGUGGUAGUGAAUUAAGUGGUUUUCAUUUAUGAUCUUUACAUGCUAAUUUUUCCUCUGGUUUUAUGGGUUGGUUUUUAAACCACACAAAAGAUAUGUGGUUUUGUUUAAGCGGUUUUGAGUUGGGAACAUAUUCAGUGGUUCUGAAUUAAGUGGUUUUUUCCUAUGUUCAUGUGAUAUAUAAGUAAUGUGUUUUUUGACAUUUUUUUUUGUGAAACCCAAAAAAUUUGUAAAUGUGUAUUCUUUUUAGGUAAAUUUGUUUGUUUUUGUAAAUUGUUGUUUCAGUGUAAAAAAUAUGUUUAGGUGACUAUGGUUUUUGAUUUUUGUAAACGUGUUAGCAUUUUAAUGUGUUUUUUUGGGUUCCGUUGUAACCACUCAAAGAUAUGCAGUCUUGUUUAUGGGAAUUUGAAUUGUGAACAUAUGUCAACCAUGCUCAAUGGUAGUGAAUUAAGUGGUUUUCAUUUAUGAUCUUUACAUGCUAAUUUUUCCUCUGAUUUUAUGGGUUGGUUUUUAAACCACACAAAAGAUAUGUGGUUUUUUUUACGAGGUGCUAAUUAUGUACAUGUCCUGACUAUGUUCAGUAGUAUUAUCUUAAGUGGUUUUCAUUAUUGUUACUGUGCCAAGUAGGUUAUGUGGGUGCUGGCUUUUUGAAACCGUAAAAAAAAAUUUGUAGGUGGUUCUGAAUUACAUAUCUCUAAAGUCUGCACAUAUUAUAACCAAGUUAUUUUGUUUGUGUUGUUGUUUGAAACCACUUAAUGGUCUGUGUUGUAUCUCUUAUUUUGGGUCUUCAAGUAUGUUGUUGUGAUUUGUGCCUAAUUUAAUUAUGUGGUUUUGAAAAUGUCACGUGGUUAUGAAUUAUGUGAAGGUGAUACAAAUGUUGUGUGGUUUCUUUUUUUUUUCUUCAGAAUUUUAAAAAAUUGUAUGUGUUUUGAAUUAAGUUGUUUUGAAUUGUGCAAGAAUGCUUUUUUUUUAUUUUUAUUUUUUUUGUGUUAUCCAAAACCACUUAACGUUAUGUGUUGUAUUGGUUAUUAAACAAUUUUCAUCAGUGUGUUGUUUUUGUGUUUGUAUUAAUAUUAAUUAGUUUUGGGGUGUAUGAAUAUAUAUUACAAUAUAUAUAUUCAGUUGUUUGUACACUGUGAUGUGGUUGUCAAUCAAUAACUAACCAACGGUAUUUAAACUUUUUUAUGUAGAUUAUAUCAAGAAAUUGGGACAAACCGUCCGACAAAAAAAAGAUAUGGACGCGACAAUUCCGUGGUGGAUUGUGUAAAAUUGUCACCUUCUUUCGUGACAUGCCUCUACGACAACCACAUUUAGACUGCAUGUCAUCCUUAGAAGACAAAUUACACGAAUUUGUGGUUUACUAUUAUUUUUUUGCGAAUAAUGGUUUACAAUCUUUUCGUGACUUCAUACUAAUGUAUACGCGUAAAAAAAUUACAGUUUGUAAUGUAAACUAAUCACUGAUCAAAUGUUGAUUUGAUAGUUUUCCGUUUUUACUGGACAUUGAUUUAAAACCACUACUAAUAGUUGAUAAC
rnacentral:lncRNA from 1 species